rnacentral:miRNA from 1 species
CACACUCCGUGGAGACGGGAC